rnacentral:SRP_RNA from 1 species
GCCAGGUGUGGUGAUGCGCGCCUGUAAUCCCAGCUACUCAGGAGGCUGGGGCAGGAGAAUCGUUUGAACCCAGGAGGUGAAGGCUGCAGUGAGCUGAGAUCACACAACUGUACUGCAGCCUGGGUGACAGAACGAGAUUCUGUCUCAA